CUUGAUGAAAGUCACUAGUGUUUUCAUCAAAUAUCUUAAUUUUGCAUGCGUAAUUAAGAUAUUUGAUGAAAACACUAGUGACUUUCAUCAAG